UACGAAGGGUGCAAGCGUUACUCGGAAUUACUGGGCGUAAAGCGUGCGUAGGUGGUGAGUUAAGUCUGUCGUGAAAGCCCCGGGCUCAACCUGGGAAUGGCGAUGGAUACUGGCUCGCUAGAGUGCGGUAGAGGAGAGUGGAAUUCCCGGUGUAGCAGUGAAAUGCGUAGAUAUCGGGAGGAACACCGGUGGCGAAGGCGGUUCUCUGGGCCUUACCUGACGCUGAGGAGCGAAAGCGUGGGGAGCGAACAGG
rnacentral:rRNA from 1 species